rnacentral:rRNA from 1 species
GAUGAACGCUGGCGGCGUGCCUAAUACAUGCAAGUCGUACGGAAAGGUUCUGCACCCAUUAUUUGAACGGUAAGUCCCACAAGGAUACUACCGACAACGCGAUCACUGGCUGGUGAGAGCGGUCGAAUACUGAGUGUAGAAUACUCGAGUGGCGGACGGCAGGAGUAACACGUAGGAAUGUACCCCCAAAUGAGGGAUAACUGCUCGAAAGAGUAGCUAAUACCGNAUGNGCUCCACGGAGUAAAGCUUCGGCGGUUUGGGAACAGCCUGCGUAUGAUUAGCUUGUUGGUGAGGUAAUGGCUCACCAAGGCGACGAUCAUUAGCUGGUCUGAGAGGNUGACCAGCCUGACUGGGACUGAGAACGG